AUUGACAGGUUAGCUAAUUUGAUGUUACAAUAAACAUGAAAUAAGUUUGUGAAGACCUUAGUGCCAAAAAUACUUGCAUGCAUUAUACAUGCAUGCUGUAUUAUAAUAUAGCAUUCAUGCAUGAUGCAUUCAAGUAUAAAAAAAAAGUUACAAAUGUUUAAUUAUACAAAAAGAUUAUGGAUGUGGUACUGCAAGUAUAUUCAAUUGAUUAUGCAAGUAAGUUGUCCUACUUUACAUCUUUGAAGACUAAUAAUAAUUGUAAUGAACAUAUCUCAGACAAUAUACACUCGGAUUUAUAUUUUAGUUAAACCAUCACCACUUCCACAGCCACCUUGUCUCAAGCAUUAAAUCGCAUUCUAAGAUAUCUUUAUUCAAAUUAAGUGUGACUACUUUACCAAAAGACUCUAGAAUGGACCAAUCAACUAACCCAUCAGUACUUGCAAAGUCUCCUUUUUUGUAAGCCCAAAAUUGAGUUCUAAAAUACCAUUAUCCGCAUAACUACUAUAUCAAAGUACAAUCUAAUGGAUUGAUCAAUGAAACUGUCGGUAUCUCCACAACUUUUCAAUUAAAUAGAAAGUUUCAAUUAAACAGGAUACUGAGUGUGCCUACUGCUCCUCGAGACAAUGAAUAAUGGGAGUUAUCAAAUAGAAUACUAUAUAAUAUUGUAUUACUAUGUUUAGGAAGGGCACUGCAGUUGUCCUGCAGUUAUGCAACUUAUCAACCCAUAACUGUGAUAACUGCCAAUUUUUUUAUAAGGUUUUUAUUAUAUAAAUGUUAUAUAUUUUACAGAGUUUUAAAGAAAAGUUCUCUGUCAAUUGUUACCAUAAUUACUCAAUAAAAGAGAUUGUAUGACUUCGGUAUCCGCAAUACGGUAUCGUGCAUUGAUUUCCAUCUUAGAAUGGCUCCCUUGCGUAUAGGUGGAAAUAGGAAAGGUUAUGCCCUUUUUUCUAAUUCUUGAGACGAAGAGGCUUAAUCGGUUCAAACAAAGAUGACGAUGAUCAUUAUGGAGCCGAUCACG
rnacentral:misc_RNA from 1 species